rnacentral:rRNA from 1 species
UACAGAGGUCCCAAGCGUUGUUCGGAUUCACUGGGCGUAAAGGGUGCGUAGGCGGUCGGGUAAGUCUGAUGUGAAAUCUCACAGCUUAACUGUGAAACUGCAUUGGAUACUAUUCGGCUUGAGAGUUGGAGGGGGGACUGGAAUUCUUGGUGUAGCAGUGAAAUGCGUAGAUAUCAAGAGGAACACCAGUGGCGAAGGCGGGUCUCUGGGCAGUAACUGACGCUGAGGAGCGAAAGCGUGGGGAGCGAACAGG